rnacentral:rRNA from 1 species
CGCCAGACUCCUACGGGAGGCAGCAGUGGGGGAUAUUGCACAAUGGGGGGAACCCUGAUGCAGCGACGCCGCGUGGGUGAAGAAGUAUUUCGGUAUGUAAAGCUCUAUCAGCAGGGAAGAAGAUGACGGUACCUGACUAAGAAGCCCUGGCUAACUACGUGCCAGCAGCCGCGGUAAUACGUAGGGGGCAAGCGUUAUCCGGAUUUACUGGGUGUAAAGGGGGCGUAGACGGCGAUGCAAGCCAGAUGUGAAAGCCCGGGGCUCAACCCCGGGACUGCAUUUGGAACUGUGUGGCUGGAGUGUCGGAGAGGCAGGCGGAAUUCCUAGUGUAGCGGUGAAAUGCGUAGAUAUUAGGAGGAACACCAGUGGCGAAGGCGGCCUGCUGGACGAUGACUGACGUUGAGGCUCGAAAGCGUGGGGAGCAAACAGGAUUAGAUACCCGGGUA